UCGGUAAGGUAUUUUUUUCUUGCAAUGCAUUCAUUAUCUACCCUUUUCACAGUUAUAAUGUUAUAAUCGGGAUUUAAGUUUCCACAAAAAUGUGCCUCUCGCAUUCAUUUAUAAAUAAUGUAUUUCUGUUCGAUAUUAAGAUCUUUCGUUUUUUGUGUUGUACCACUUAUAUUUGUUCUAAUUAUGAGGUCUUUCAACUUUUCUGUGGAAAGACAUAUUUUUUUGUUUUUGUUCUGAUUAUUUUUGUUUUUAUUUUGUUCUCCCACUAAACACUUUUCUUGCUGGUAUAAAAUUAUUUCGCAAGAUGCCUCUUAGAUAAUGGGAAAUUAUAUCAAACAGUUAUUGCGCUUUUAAAACUUAUCUUUUUUAGCCGAAAACUUUGUAAUUGUAGGAGUUAUCCGCCAAAAAGACCGUGUUUUGUUAGUGUAUCUCUU
rnacentral:lncRNA from 1 species